CGAGGACGUUCCAGCAGCCAGGGCUGACUCUUGGACUACCACACGGCUGGGCGGCAAAGGAUUCGCUGGUCUCACCAGCACGUCCUUGAAGGAAGGCCGGGAGUCGAGCGACGUCGCGCCAUCCGAAGAGGCCGGACUGAGGUCACCCCACCUAAUAGACUUGGAGUGCCCCCUGGCUACAUGGGACACGGGAGGAGACAAGGAGGGGAUGGAAGACGACGCGCCAGGGCUAGAGGGAGCUGCGGCGACGACAGCAAGGGAGUUGGCCGCCGGCCCCGGAAUGGGAACCGGCGCGUGCUGG
rnacentral:misc_RNA from 1 species